UGGUGAUCUCCCCACUCUGAAGAAAGUUAGAGGACCUGAGCCCUAGGACCAUGCCUCAGGACUACCUGGCCUGAUGACUCCUUGCUGUCCCCAGUCCACCUGGUCUUGCUGCUGCUCUAGUUUCAACUGUUCUGCCCGCGGCUAUGGUACCUGACCUGUUCACCGGACGUGCUACCUGUCCCAGACCUGCUGUUUUCAACUCUCUAGAGACAGCAGGAGCGGUAGAAAUACUCUGAAUGAUCGGCUAUGAAAAGCCAACUGACAUUUACUCCUGAGGUGCUGACCUGUUGCACCCUCUACAACCACUGUGAUUAUUAUUAUUUGACCCUGAUGGUCAUCUAUGAACAUUUGAACAUCUUGGCCAUGUUCUGUUAUAAUCUCCACCCGGCACAGCCAGAAGAGGAGAGGCCACCCCUCAUAGCCUGGUUCCUCUCUAGAUUUCUUCCUAGGUUCUGGCCUUUCUAGGGAGUUUUUCCUAGCCACCGUGCUUCUACACCUGCAUUGCUUGCUGUUUGGGGUUUUAGGCUGGGUUUCUGUACAGCACUUUGUGACAUCAGCUGAUGUAAGAAGGGCUUUAUAAAUACAUUUGAUUGAUUGAUUUCAAAGGUAGGUACAGUCUCCAAUUUCCAAAAUUGCAAUAUAAGGCUUUUGGCUAAUAGAGUACAAAGAGAAACAGCCUUCCCUUCCUGGUUAUUCACAUCAACUGUACCAAACAACAAUCAAUUGGUCUGGGGCUAUAACCCUAUCAAAGGCUUUAGAUAAGUAAUCAAAAAUGAGAGCCCAGUAAGCAUGUAAUUUAAGACCUGUCCAAAAUAAGUGUGUCAAAGUCUCCUCAUCCUGCUUGCACCUCUCACACAGUAGUGAGGUGUCUGGGAAUAUUUUAUGCAGUUUAACCUUUGAGUAAUGUAACCUGUGUAUCACCUUAAACUGAACACGGUUGUGUCUGGUAUUCACUGAACUGUGGUUUAUAUUCAUGAGAGCUUCUACCCAGUCUUCAUCUGAGAUUUCUGAACCAAGUUCCUGCUCCCAAGCCCUUUAAAUAUUGUCUGUAGAUUCCUCUAUGUGGGCCUGUAGCACAUCAUAAAGUCUAGAGACCGGCCCUUUUGAAUGGGGUUUGACAAGGAUAAGGCAAUCUAAUGUAGGAUUAUUUGGCUUAAUGCCAUGCUGUGGGAUAUGUGUCCUUAAGAAAUUCCUGAUUUGGAGGUAUCUGAAAAAAUGUGUUGCUG
rnacentral:lncRNA from 1 species